CACGUAGGGCGCAAGCGUUGUCCGGAAUUAUUGGGCGUAAAGCGCACGUAGGCGGUUUGUUAUGUCGGAUGUGAAAGCCCUUGGCUUAACUGAGGAAGUGCAUCCGAAACUGGCAAGCUAGAGUACUAAAGAGGGUCGCGGAAUUCCCGGUGUAGAGGUGAAAUUCGUAGAUAUCGGGAGGAACACCGGUGGCGAAGGCGGCGACCUGGGUAGAUACUGACGCUGAGGUGCGAAAGCGUGGGGAGCAAACAGG
rnacentral:rRNA from 1 species